rnacentral:rRNA from 1 species
CAGUAGCCGCGGGAAUACAGAGGGUGCAAGCGUUACUCGGAAUUACUGGGCGUAAAGCGUGCGUAGGUGGUGGUUUAAGUCCGUUGUGAAAGCCCUAGGCUCAACCUGGGAAUUGCAGUGGAUACUGGGUCACUAGAGUGUGGUAGAGGAUAGUGGAAUUUCCGGUGUAGCAGUGAAAUGCGUAGAGAUCGGAAGGAACAUCUGUGGCGAAGGCGACUAUCUGGGCCAACACUGACACUGAGGCACGAAAGCGUGGGGAGCAAACAGGAUUAGAUACCCCGGUAGUCCCUGUCUCUUAUAC